GGUUUGCAAACUACCCCAAUCCUCAUCAAAAUCAUCUAUGUUGGCGUUUGAAGACAAAUCCGGAGUGCGGCAGGCGGUCGUCCGCGGAGGAGUAAAAUGCAUCAUAAAAGUCCAGACAGACACGUCCGCCUGAAGAAGAUAUUUUAUAUCCAGUAGAUGAUGACAAUAUGGAUAUAUGGAUGUCAAUGGCUCGGUGGUCAGAAAAUGGUGAAGGUAAAAUGUUUGUUUAAAUAUUUCCUAAUUCAUUAGAAAAAAAGGCAAAAAUCAGUUUGUGACUGAUUUGAAAAGGUGCUAUUGUUCCAUGUAAAAGGUCUUUGAAGUGGACGGGUCAUUUUCUAAACAUCUGCCCAGUCACAUUCCUACAUAAAGUCCUUCAGGUAAGAAUUACCACUGGCGGAAUGAUGUGGAGGCCAUCUGUCCAUGCUGCUACCCAGUAUGUCAUUAAGGGCUCCUCCCAAAAUUCAGAAUGCAUUAUGAAAGUGUCAGGUUUCGCGGGUGAGGACGGGCAGGCUGGCAGGAAGGAGGCAGGGAGGACGAGGCAGACAGGCGAAAUACGGGGAAAACUGGGGAUUUAUUAAGGGAGAGACGGCUAUGGGGAGAACAGGACAUUGUGUAAUGAGGUGGAGCUGGAGGGUGCGAUCUGGUUGGGGCAUGGUAAUUUCAUUAACCUGGCUGCAACAAUUAAGCAAUCAGCACGCGUAUAUAGGACCCGGUUGUGGUUGCGUGUGUGACUGAUUUGCAAGCGUGACGUGACUCUCCGUGCGCUAGUAUCUCCUUUUCCGGAAGUUGUGGCUAUAUCCAACGCUGCAGGUAGGGCAUCAGUGGACGGGGUCGUUUGCUUGCUGUAUGGGUGGUUGUAAUGUGCUUUGGUAUCUUUCUUACAGUUGCAAGGGCUUGGUAAAUCUAGCAGCUUGCGGUUGCUUCCGCUUUUAAGGUUUUCCAACUUUUACCGCGUGUAAUCUGCCAGGUAUGUCUCGUCUCCUUUUACCAACGUUUGGGUAGUAGGGGCAUACCUAAUACUGUGUUUGUAUUUGUAGUGGAUCGCGACUUGGAGUGUCCCGGACCGACGUGAGCCAGACCAUCAACGGGAUACUAAGUCACUACAAUUGCUGCUGUUUUGCCCGGAUGUUUUAUGUUUUGUUUCAUGUUUUAAUUGGUUUUAAGUAUUAAUGUGUUUUAUUUAUUGGAUGUAAAUUGGGGGGGUGUCGUUGGGAAGGUUUGGUGCUGGGCGGUGAGGAUCCGUGUCGGGCGAUACCGCGCUGCGUGGUCGCGUUGCGUUCUUUUAGCCCACCCCUUGGGUGGAUGUACGUGCGGCAUGUGCUGCGGGACCCCUUAGAGUGUUGUCUGACUGUACGCCUCCCAUUCCCCUCCCGACAACAGCUGCCUGGUUUGGGUUUCCUCUUUUUGUCGUGUGAUUGGAGUGUUUUAAACAUGAUUCGAUUUGUAUUUGUGCUGUGAUUUUGGUUUUGUAAUUUGCUGUUUG